GACGAACGCUGGCGGCGUGCUUAACACAUGCAAGUCGAGCGGUAAGGCCCUUUCGGGGUACACGAGCGGCGAACGGGUGAGUAACACGUGGGUGACCUGCCCUCAGCUCUGGGAUAAGCCUGGGAAACUGGGUCUAAUACUGGAUAUGACUCCACGGUGCAUGUCGUGGGGUGGAAAGCCUUGUGCGGCUGAGGAUGGGCCCGCGGCCUAUCAGCUUGUUGGUGGGGGAUGGCCUACCAAGGCGACGACGGGUAGCCGGCCUGAGAGGGCGACCGGCCACACUGGGACUGAGACACGGCCCAGACUCCUACGGGAGGCAGCAGUGGGGAAUCUUGCGCAAUGGGCGAAAGCCUGACGCAGCGACGCCGCGUGAGGGAUGACGGCCU
rnacentral:rRNA from 1 species